AUCGAUAAUACACGUUAAAUUUUACUUUAAUUUUAAAAUUUAUAUACCGCCAUCUUAAGAAUUAAUUAAAAAAUAUUUCUCUAAAAAACAAAUAAAAAGUUAGGUCAAGGUGUAAUUUACAUUAAAGAAUGAGAUGAAUUACAUUAAAUAUUAUUUAAAGAUUAUUAAUAAACAUAUUAAUAUAAAUAAGGAUUUAAAAGCAAUAUUCAAAUAAUAUUAAAAUACGAUAUAGAUAAUAAAUGUGUACACAUCGCCC
rnacentral:rRNA from 1 species